UGGGGAAUUUUGGACAAUGGGCGCAAGCCUGAUCCAGCAAUGCCGCGUGCAGGAUGAAGGCCUUCGGGUUGUAAACUGCUUUUGUACGGAGCGAAAAGGUCUGCCCUAAUACGGUGGGCUCAUGACGGUACCGUAAGAAUAAGCACCGGCUAACUACGUGCCAGCAGCCGCGGUAAUACGUAGGGUGCGAGCGUUAAUCGGAAUUACUGGGCGUAAAGCGUGCGCAGGCGGUUAUAUAAGACAGGUGUGAAAUCCCCGGGCUCAACCUGGGACCUGCAUUUGUGACUGUAUAGCUAGAGUACGGUAGAGGGGGACGGAAUUCCGCGUGUAGCAGUGAAAUGCGUAGAUAUGCGGGGGAGCACCGAUGGCGAAGGCAAUCCCCUGGACCUGUACUGACGCUCAUGCACGAAAGCGUGGGGAGCAAACA
rnacentral:rRNA from 1 species